GAUGAACGCUGGCGGCGUGCCUAAUACAUGCAAGUCGAGCGAACGGACGAGAAGCUUGCUUCUCUGAUGUUAGCGGCGGACGGGUGAGUAACACGUGGAUAACCUACCUAUAAGACUGGGAUAACUUCGGGAAACCGGAGCUAAUACCGGAUAAUAUUUUGAACCGCAUGGUUCAAAAGUGAAAGACGGUCUUGCUGUCACUUAUAGAUGGAUCCGCGCUGCAUUAGCUAGUUGGUAAGGUAACGGCUUACCAAGGCAACGAUGCAUAGCCGACCUGAGAGGGUGACCGGCACAACUGAACCUAGGAAACGGUCAAGCUCCCAAGGGAAGGAAGAGGUAGGAAAUCUUCGGCAAUGGGCGAAAGCUUGCCGGAGAAACGCGGGGUGAGUAAUGAAGGCCUCCGGAUGGUAAAAUCCUGUUAUUAGGGAAGAAAAAAUGGGAAAGUAACUGUGCAAACUUGACCGGAACUAAAUAAGAAAGCACCGGUAAACUACGG
rnacentral:rRNA from 1 species